AUGUUUUCGCAGGGCGCCGCCGACGUUCCUUGCACUCUCUUGCUCUUUGUGGGCGACGAGUUGGUCGAUGUUGCCAAGGGCAAAAUCGUUCAACCAGGCAACCCCGUGUUCCACGGUAAUCCGAUGCCACCCACAGUGUAUAGGGUUGAACUGGUUCGGGUGCUGCCAGGCUGCGACGAGCUGUUACCUCCGAUUCGACCCGCUGGGGCCGACGAAGAAGAUGAGAUGACCCUCAGCGCCUGCGUAAACUGGCCCCUGCUUUGGCCAAAGAGCCAGAUUCGUUUGGGGGCGGGGGACACCACCCCACAGACAAGACCGCCAGUCGUGCCGGCGCCAAGCCAUGGCAAGAACGCCGCAACGCUAUCGGACAUGUCGGACAUCCCUAUGGCACAGGAUCCGGACAUGCAUAUCGCACAGGAUCCGAACGACGACGACAGUGACGACGGUACAUUUACCAAUGUGGAUAAGUACUUUGCCGAACAUGGGUACGGUGACGAGUUCUGCGGGGGUCCUUCUCAAGAACCCAACCAAGACGACCGCGAUCUAGCUGGUACGGCGGAGAAAUCCAAUUGCAACAGGCGUCGUCUGGCGUUCGGUUCUCAUGAGACGCCUCCAGCUCCCGCCUUCACCGAGCCUCAGAUAGCUGAGGUGCGAAAUAUUAUCAGCCCCAACACGCUCAAGAAGGAGGUCUGUGAGCAGAACUCAGUCCCAUUACACCAGAUCAAGAAGAAGGGACGGAAACGAAAGACUAACAAGGGCGCCGGUGCGAGCCAGCCGGCACCGAGUACGAUCCGUGCUCAGGACGGGCCUCCUUCACCUAAGGAUAUCUCGAGGAGGGUGCAUGUGGCGGGUAGGGCGAUGCUACCGAUAAAUAUGCUCAAUGCUGCAACCGGUGCUAUGCGGAAUCUGCAUGACAGUGUUCUUUCUUUGGAGAAGAUGUGUCUCCCCAGAAUGAUGUGGCAUACCCGAUUUUCAUGGCCAAGGUGCCAGAGGGCAAGGGCUUUGUGGAUGGCGCCAUGGGGGGUACGAUCGUCCUGCGGUUUGAUGACAUCUUUGCUAUGUUUAAUCUUCAUCCGCUGCACUACACCUUCGUUCGGCUGUUUUCGCUGA
rnacentral:rRNA from 1 species